AGACGAACCGUACAAACGUUAUUCGGAAUUACUGGGCUUAAAGGGUGCGUAGGCGGCUUGGCAAGUUGGGUGUGAAAUCCCUCGGCUCAACCGAGGAACUGCGCCCAAAACUGCCAGACUUGAGGGAGACAGAGGUGAGUGGAACUUAGGGUGGAGCGGUGAAAUGCGUUGAUAUCCUAAGGAACACCAGUGGCGAAAGCGACUCACUGGGUCUCUUCUGACGCUGAGGCACGAAAGCUAGGGUAGCGAACGGGAUUAGAUACCCCAGUAGUCC
rnacentral:rRNA from 1 species